AUGUGCUGUUCUUGACGUCCUUACUUCUGUCCUCAGAAUCAUAUCUUCGCAUCUGAAAGAAGGCAACAGCAUUGAGCAACAAUCUGGGACUCUAUUUGAUAUCUUCCCUUGAGAAGUGUUAAAUGUUGCCAUAAUCUUGACAGUUCAAAAGUUAGUCAUGUGGUUGAUAUUUUACCAAUGAGAUGAAUGUGAGUCUGCUUCUGGAACCCAAACCUAAGGGACUCAGCUAUGUUUGUGUUGACCUACUAUCAAUAAAGAAGAUCCUUAUUUAAGAACAGGCCACCUUCUGUUUUACACAUAUACUUUCUGACCCUAGAAAUUGUUCAGAAGGUGGAAUGUUUUGCUGUUUCAAUGAGAUCACAUGUGUAAAGGCUCUUUGUACACUGCAGGAGCUAUAGAAAUGUGAGUUAUGAUUGCUCAAAUUUCAUUCCCUUUGCUCUAAUUUUGAGUUAGGGGAGAGAAAGCCGGCCUGUAAAGUACAUAUCACAGUUUCUCUUUCUCAGCUUUCAACUGCAUGGGAGUUUGUAUUUCUGUUUCUACUACUCCAUUUCCUCUGCUGAUACCCUGCCAGGGAGGUGAAUGUAUCAAGUCAGGAAGUAGACUUCUCAGAAUAAAGAAUGCAGAAUUAGAAUGUUUAGUGCACCCAAGGUUAGGUGUAGAGUGUGUCAUAUGAAAGUAAUAGGUAUACUUUUUUCAUAGCAUUUAAUAUGCCUUUAUCCUUAAAUUUUUAAUAGGUUUUGAUAUAUCAAAGUAUAUAAAAGUAUACACUUUAUUAUAAUUGUCAACUGUAUUUUUGUAGUUUUCUUCUCUCACUUUUCAGAGAGGGGAGAAUUUAGCCCUUACUGUGAAAACAAAUACACAAGGAAGAAACAAGCUUAUUACAAACAAGAAUGUUCCUCUAUUACAUGUACUGAUCUAAAAACCUUAGUCUAGUUACUCCUCCUGAAGCUCAUGUUUAAUAUUUGGAAUAGAAAAUACUUUUCUAUUAAAAAAUCCAGAAGAAAUUAAGAUAUUGAUUUUUCCCCAUAAGAUCUCUGUUGUGGUGACUGCAGUGACUGUAAUAUCUUCUGUCGUUGCAUUUGUAAUGGCUUCAUCAAGAAUGAGAUUGCCUCCCAAAGGGUGGGUUAGAAGUUUCCCAUCUGCAGGCAUUGCUUGGCCAGCAUCUAUCCUCUAUUUCCACAACCCACCAUGUUUUUUGGAAUAAUAUGGGUGCUCUUAGUAACUCAUGCAAGGGUGGUCAUUUUGCUUCUGUAUGAUAUUGAUUCUAUAACUUGCAACCAGUGGCAGAGCUCAGUGGAGGACUUUCCACCUUCCACCCACCCUGCUCUUUUCUGGCCACAGCCAAGAGCUCCAGAUUACAGAGAUUCUGACUGGUGAAUUUGGAAGUAAUCACUUCAUUUCCCAGGAGGUCCAAUUCAGGAUAUACCUCUAGUUUAGAGUUGGUUGCGAGAGUUAUGCAAACCAACAAUAAAACUGGGAGACUCCAGACGCCAUUGCCCUCAAGGCCUUGGGCACAGCCCAGGGAGUGCCUGGCUGUGUGGACUUGGAGCCAAGGGCCCUGGGACUGCAUGCGACACCACUACUCAACACACAAGAGAUUCCCAGCUUAGCACAAAAUAGGUUUUUGUUUGAUUCCUUCCCAGUGUUUACCUAAUUUAAACUCUGUACUCUAAUUUGAACAAUUGUUAUGUUUGCUCUCAAUAAAUCAAAAUGAGAUGUUCUGAAUAAUCCAUUUGGUACCAAUGGAAAAAAAAACCCACUGUUGAAAUGUAUGAUUGUUAUUUUGGUGAAAACAUGAAGAAUAAAAU
rnacentral:lncRNA from 10 species